CUUCCCACUUUCUUCUGGCAAUAGGUGCUCCAGCAAUGCAGAGGGCAGCCAAGCUUGGCAGGAGAGGGAGUCAAUAAGGAACUCAAAGGAGGAGCAAAUCCCGGGGCCAAAGUCUCCCCAGCCAGCCCUGGCUGGCGGAGGUCCAGUGGACUUUGGGCAGCUACUGCUUAUUGGGCAGUCUCUAAGCCCCAGAGGGUCCCAGAAAGAAGGAGGAAGCAGCCAGAGGCAGACUGAUCGGAGCCCAGAGACUCAAGUGAACAAUGGAUGGCCACGUUUGACUAUGUCAUAGAAGGGAUUCUUGUUUGGGGAUGGAUCCACCUACAUGGCCUCUGGGGUACUAACUGAGAUUCUAAUCUACCCAACAAAUGAUUCUUCUGUGGGGAAACCAAUAACUAGAAGGAAACCAGCAGAUUUGAUGAGUCCAGAAAUAUUGGGAACCGCUACAUCCGGGAGAGACAAGGGCAAUCCUGAGGGAUGUCCCAUCAUAAUCAUGAUUUCCUCUCAAUAAAUAAGUACUUCUUGA